UACGGGGGGGGCAAGCGUUGUUCGGAAUUACUGGGCGUAAAGGGCUUGUAGGCGGCCGACUAAGUCGGAUGUGAAAUCCCCAGGCUCAACUUGGGAACUGCAUCCGAUACUGGUUGGCUUGAAUCCGGGAGAGGGAUGCAGAAUUCCAGGUGUAGCGGUGAAAUGCGUAGAUAUCUGGAGGAACACCGGUGGUGUAGACGGCUUUCUGGACCGUAACUGACGCUGAGACACGAAAGCGUGGGUAGCAAACAGG
rnacentral:rRNA from 1 species